CACCGGCCAGUCAGCGGAGCCUCCUCACCUCCGUUGGCAGCUAACGCGCUCGUUAGGCCUUCGGAAGAGGCGACCGGAGGCGAUGCCAGCGAAUUUGUUAGGGGGGGGAGACCGUGGUCACGAAGGGGGUUCUCCCAGAGUGAAGCUUCUUCAUCGCACUCUAGAGUUGCUGAUCCCUGUGAUUUCCUCAGUGUGGGAAACGGUGUUUGUGCUAGAGAGGCUGUGCUCUUUACCUGACAUAAGGGGGUUCAAGACUGACAUCCCUCACGCCCACCCGAAAACGUUUACAUGGCUUCCUUGUCUCUUUUUUUUUCUGUCCUAAAGUCGCCUCAUCUUCACAUCCCCUCAUUUUUUCUUCCACACUCGAGAGUGUCUCUCUCUCUCAUUAAAAGCUCCAUCAAAUAUUUGAAAUAUCUCAACCAGAAAGACUGCAAUAAAUACAUUAUUUCAUUCGUGGAAGCUACAGGCCA
rnacentral:lncRNA from 1 species